rnacentral:rRNA from 1 species
UACGUAGGGUGCAAGCGUUAAUCGGAAUUACUGGGCGUAAAGCGUGCGCAGGCGGUGAUGUAAGACAGAUGUGAAAUCCCCGGGCUCAACCUGGGAACUGCAUUUGUGACUGCAUCGCUGGAGUACGGCAGAGGGGGAUGGAAUUCCGCGUGUAGCAGUGAAAUGCGUAGAUAUGCGGAGGAACACCGAUGGCGAAGGCAGCCCCCUGGGUCAACACUGACGCUCAUGCACGAAAGCGUGGGGAGCAAACAGG